GGAGGAGACCAAAGGAACCCUCCCCCAAGGGCCAUCUGUGGAGCUUCAAGACUCUUCAGGGUCCCAGGAUAAACCCCGGGAAGCAGGACCUGCGGUGGGACAGCAGCUCUUGGAGAGCCAGAAUGGAAUUGGGAUCCCAAAGCCAAGUGAUGGUGUCGCUGGUGGGAUUUCCUCCCCCUCUGGAGAUCCUGGGAAUUUGGAGAUGGAUGAGGAGAAGGAGCUGGAUCCCCCUGUCCCACAAAAGGAAUGGGAUUCCCAAGUCCUGAAAAGCAAAAAAGGACGAGAGAAGAAACAAGAAGAAAAGAAAGAGCAGGAAAAGGGAUUGAAGAGGAAA